AUAAAAGCUACUAAGGGCAUAUGGUGGAUAUCUUGGCAGCAAGAGGCGAUGAAGGACGUUUACUAGGUAACGAUAUGCUUCGACGAGUGAUCAAGUACGCUUUGACUCGAAGAUUUCCGAAUGGGGUAACCUCGCUAGCAGAAAUGCUAGUGACUAUACAGUGAGUAAAGUAGCUGUAUUAGAGCGAACGCAGGGAACUGAAACAUCUAAGUACCUGUAGGAACAUAAAUCAAUAGAGAUUCUGCUAGUAGCGGCGAGCGAACGCAGAAAAGCCCAAACCGGCCAGUUUACUGCCCGGGGUUGUAGGACCUCAUUUAGGAUUCAUGAAGAUUAGGAGAACGUGUUGGGAAGCACGACCAAAGAGAGUGAAAGUCUCGUAUCCGAAAGUUUGAUUGACCGAGAGGUAUCCUGAGUAGGACGGAACACGAGAAAUUCUGUCUGAAUCUGGGAGGACCACCUUCCAAGGCUAAAUACUCCUUGCUGACCGAUAGUGAACCAGUACCGUGAGGGAAAGAUGAAAAGAACCCCGAUAAGGGGAGUGAAAUAGAACUUGAAACCAUAUGCUUACAAUCGGUGAAAGGGUUAUUGUAAAGCCUGAUCACGUACCUUUUGCAUUAUGAGCCGCCGAGUUACGGUGUGUAGCAAGGUUAAGCCGUCGCAGGUGUAGCCGUAGGGAAACCGAGUCUGAAUAGGGCGAUUAGUUGCAUGUCGUAGACCCGAAACGGGAUGAGCUUGCCAUGAGCAGGUUGAAGCGGAGGUAAUACUUCGUGGAGGACCGAACCCAUAUAGGUUGAAAACUGUUGGGAUGACUUGUGGUAAGGGGUGAAAGGCCAAUCAAAUUCCGUGAUAGCUGGUUCUCUCCGAAAUGCAUUUAGGUGCAGCGUUUGAUGAUUACUGACGGGGGUAAAGCACUGAAUUGGCUAGGGGGCUUACCAGCUUACCAAACCAUAUCAAACUCAGAAUACCGUUAAGUACAGUCAAGCAGUGAGACUAUGGAUGCUAAGGUCCAUAGUCGAAAGGGAAAGAGCCCAGACCGACAGUUAAGGUCCCUAAAUCGUGUCUAAGUGGGAAAGGUUGUGGAAUUACUUUGACAUCCAGGAGGUUGGCUUAGAAGCAGCCAUCCUUUAAAGAAAGCGUAAUAGCUCACUGGACUAGUGAUUCUGCGCCGAAAAUGUAACGGGGCUAAAGAUACGUACCGAAACUUCGGAAUUAUUUAUAAUUGGUAGGAGAGCAUUGUGUUUACUGAUGAAGGCGUACCGGCAAGGAGCGUUGGAGGCAUCACAAGAGCUGAUGGCGGCAUGAGUAGCGAUAAGAAAUGUGAGAAUCAUUUCCGCCGAAAAUCUAAGGGUUCCUGGACCAGGUGACUCCGUCCAGGGUUAGUCGGAUCCUAAGGUGAGGCCGAAAGGCGUAAUCGAUGGGUAACGGGUUAAUAUUCCCGUACUUGGUAAUUGUCGCUUGACAUGAAGGAGUGACGGAGAAAGGUAGCAGAGCCAACUGUUGGAUGUUGGUUUAAGAGUGUAGGAGGAGAUCUUAGGCAAAUCCGGGAUCUUGUUAACUCUGAGACUUGAUGACGAGGGCCUAGCCCGAAGUUUGUGAUCCUAUGCUUCCCAGAAAAGCUUCGCAUGAAGAUAAUUAUCAAUCCGUACCGUAAACCGACACAGGUAGAUGAGAAGAGAAUUCUCAGGCGCUUGGGAGAACUCUAGUUAAGGAACUCUGCAAAUUGGUGCCGUAACUUCGGGAGAAGGCACGCCUUGCUUGGUGACAUCACUUGCUGGUGAAGCUGAACGAGGUCGCAGUGAAGAGGGGGUAGCGACUGUUUAUCAAAAACAUAGGUCUAUGCAAACUCGCAAGAGGAUGUAUAUGGACUGACGCCUGCCCGGUGCUGGAAGGUUAAGAGGAGAGGUUAGCUUUCGGGCGAAGCUUCGAAUUGAAGCCCCAGUAAACGGCGGCCGUAACUAUAACGGUCCUAAGGUAGCGAAAUUCCUAGUCGGGUAAGUUCCGACCUGCACGAAUGGCGUAACGACUUCCCCACUGUCUCAACUAGAGGCCCAGCGAAAUUGGAGUGCGCGUGAAGAUACGCGCAACCCGCGGAAGGACGAAAAGACCCCGUGAACCUUUACUGUAGCUUGACAUUGGGUUUUGAUUAACAUUGCGUAGGAUAGGUGGGAGUUUUUGAUCCCUGCAUUCCGGUGUAGGAGUAGACAUCCUUGAAAUACCACCCUUUGUUAAUUGAAAUCCUAACCUACGAUCCUGAUCGGGUCGGGGGACAAUGUCUGGUGGGCAGUUUGACUGGGGCGGUCGCCUCCUAAAGAGUAACGGAGGCGCACAAAGGUUCGCUCAAGCCGAAUGGAAACCGGCUGUAGAGUGUAAACGCAUAAGCGAGCUUGACUGCAACACAAACACGUGGAGCAGGGUCGAAAGACGGUGUUAGUGAUCCGGUGGUUCCGAGUGGAAGGGCCAUCGCUCAACGGAUAAAAGGUACUCCGGGGAUAACAGGCUGAUCUCCCCCAAGAGUUCACAUCGACGGGGAGGUUUGGCACCUCGAUGUCGGCUCAUCGCAUCCUGGGGCUGGAGCAGGUCCCAAGGGUUAGACUGUUCGUCUAUUAAAGCGGUACGCGAGCUGGGUUCAGAACGUCGUGAGACAGUUCGGUCUCUAUCCUCCGUGGGCGUAAGAAAUUUGAGAAAAUCUGACCUUAGUACGAGAGGACCGGGUUGGACGAACCUAUGGUGUACCGGUUAUGUCGCCAGAUGUACCGCCGGGUAGCUAAGUUCGGAAAGGAUAACCGCUGAAAGCAUCUAAGUGGGAAGCCCAUUUCAAGAUAAGAUUUCUAUUAGACAGCUUGUAGACCACGAGCUUGAUAGGUUGGGGGUGUAAGUGCAGUAAUGCAUUGAGCUGACCAAUACUAAUUUGUCGUUUUGCUUUUAUCUAUUUUAUUUUAGGUUCACUUC
rnacentral:rRNA from 1 species